ensembl:piRNA 21ur-4170 ncRNA
UAUUGCAAGACUUCGAGUGCA